rnacentral:lncRNA from 11 species
CUUGGCUUUGGGGCGGGAGGGGCCGGGAGGUGGCGGGUUAGGCAGGCUGCCCAUUCGGAUCCUAAGUAACCCUUUGGUCGUGACCCUUUCCCUCCGUUGACCAAGUCGGAGAAGUCGGGCAGAAGAAGGACCCGAAAGCCUUGGCUGGGCGGCCGGAGGAAGGAAGACCAGAGCGAAACUCACACUAAUGAUUGCAGCAGUGAAAUAGCCUGAUUUGACAGGAUGGAUGAAGGCAUCUCCUCCUUAGAGGACAUUGUGCUA